AGAGUUUGAUCCUGGCUCAGAGCGAACGCUGGCGGCAGGCCUAAUACAUGCAAGUCGAGCGAGCCCUUCGGGGCUAGCGGCGGACGGGUGAGUAACGCGUGGGAACGUGCCCUUUGGUACGGAACAACUGAGGGAAACUUCAGCUAAUACCGUAUGUGCCCUUCGGGGGAAAGAUUUAUCGCCAUUGGAGCGGCCCGCGUUGGAUUAGGUAGUUGGUGAGGUAAAGGCUCACCAAGCCUACGAUCCAUAGCUGGUCUGAGAGGAUGAUCAGCCACACUGGGACUGAGACACGGCCCAGACUCCUACGGGAGGCAGCAGUAGGGAAUCUUGCGCAAUGGGCGAAAGCCUGACGCAGCCAUGCCGCGUGAAUGAUGAAGGUCUUAGGAUUGUAAAAUUCUUUCACCGGGGACGAUAAUGACGGUACCCGGAGAAGAAGCCCCGGCUAACUUCGUGCCAGCAGCCGCG
rnacentral:rRNA from 1 species